rnacentral:rRNA from 1 species
CAGCAGCCGCGGUAAUACAGAGGGUGCGAGCGUUAAUCGGAUUUACUGGGCGUAAAGCGUGCGUAGGCGGCUUUUUAAGUCGGAUGUGAAAUCCCUGAGCUUAACUUAGGAAUUGCAUUCGAUACUGGGAAGCUAGAGUAUGGGAGAGGAUGGUAGAAUUCCAGGUGUAGCGGUGAAAUGCGUAGAGAUCUGGAGGAAUAACGAUGGCGAAGGCAGCCAUCUGGCCUAAUACUGACGCUGAGGUACGAAAGCAUGGGGAGCAAACAGGAUUAGAUACCCCCGUAGUCCCUGUCUCUUAUAC